CCUACGGGUGGCAGCAGUGGGGGAUAUUGCACAAUGGGGGAAACCCUGAUGCAGCGACGCCGCGUGCGUGAAGAAGUAUUUCGGUAUCUAAAGCUCUAUCAGCAGGGAAGAAAAUGACAGUACCUGACCAAGAAGCCCCGGCUAACUACGUUACAGCAGCCGGGGUAAUACGUAGGGGGCAAGCGUUAUCCGGAUUUACUGGGUGUAAAGGGGGCGUAGACGGUGAUGUAAGUCUGGAGUGAAAGCCCGGGGGCCAACCCCGGGACUGCUUUUGAAACUGUGUACCUUGAGUACAGAAGGGGCAGGCGGAAUUCCUGGUGUAGCGGUGAAAUGCGUAGAUAUCAGGAGGAACCCCGGCGGCGAAGGCAGCCUGCUGGACUGAAACUGACGUUGAGGCUCGAAAGCGUGGGGAGCAAACAGGAUUAGAUACCCGAGUAGUC
rnacentral:rRNA from 1 species